AAAGCGUGCGCAGGCGGUUUUGUAAGUCAGAUGUGAAAUCCCCGAGCUCAACUUGGGAACUGCGUUUGAAACUACAAGACUAGAAUAUGUCAGAGGGGGGUAGAAUUCCACGUGUAGCAGUGAAAUGCGUAGAGAUGUGGAGGAAUACCAAUGGCGAAGGCAGCCCCCUGGGAUAAUAUUGACGCUCAUGCACGAAAGCGUGGGGAGCAAACAGGAUUAGAUACCCUUGU
rnacentral:rRNA from 1 species